rnacentral:lncRNA from 1 species
AUAGCCGAGUGUUUCAAGUACAUACAUGUUCUUUUUCAGUUGCUCUUCCAUUACAAGCUAUUACAAGAUAUUGAACAUAGAUCCCUAUGCUGUACAGUAGGUACUGGUUGGUUGUCUAGUUUAUACAUAGUAGUGUGUUCCUGUUAAUCCAAACCUCCUAAUUUAUCCCUCCCCUCUUUCUCCUUUGAGAACUAUAAGGCUGUUUUCUAUGUCUGAGUCUUUUUUUGUUGUUGUGUAAAUAAGCUCAUUUGUAUCAUUCUUUAUAUUCCACAUAUAAGUGAUAGCAUAUGCUAUCUGUCUUUCUGUCUGACUUCACGUAGUGUAAUAAUCUUUAGGUCCAUCCAUGUUGCUGCAAAUGGCAAAAUAUUUCAUCCUUUUUAUAGCUGAGUGAUAUUCCAUUGUAUAUAACACAUUGUCUUUACAUUCCUCUGUCAAAGGACACUUAAGUUGCUUCCAUGUCUUGGCUAUCAUAAAUAGUGCUGCUAUGAAUGUUGGGGUGCAUGUAUCUUUUCAAAUAUGGUUUUCUCCAGGUAUAUGCCAAGGAGUGGGGUUACUUGAUCAUAUGAUAGUUUUAUUUUUAGUUUUUUAAGGAACCUCCAUGCUGUUCUCCAUAGUGGCUGUACCAAGUUACAUUCCCACCAAAAGUGGAGGAGGGUUCCCUUUUCUCCACACCCUCUCCAACACUUAUUAUUUGUAGACUUUUUGAUGAUGGCCAUUCUGACUGGUGUGAGGUGGUAUCUCAUGGUAGUUUUGAUUUGCAUUUCUCUAAUAAUUAGUGAUAUUGAACAUCUUUUCAUGUGCCUGUUGGCCAUCUGUAUGUCUUCUUUCAAGAAAUGUCUUUUUAGGUCUUCUACCCAUUUUUUUGAUUAGAAUGUUUGGUCUUUUGAUACUGAAUCCUAUAUGAGUUGUUUGCAUAUUUUGGAAAUGAAUCCCUUGUCAGUCACACACUUUGCAAACAUUUUCUCCUAUUCUGCAGGUUGUGUCUUCAUUUUGUUUAUGAUUUCCUUUGCUGUGCAAAUGCUUUUAAGUUUAAUUAGGUCUCGUUUGUUUAUUUUUGCUUUUGUUUCCAUUACUCUAGAAAAUGGACCCCAAAAAAUGUUGCUGUAAUUUAUGUCAGAGUGUUCUGCCUAUGUUUUCCUCUAGGAGUUUUAUAUUAUUCAGAGUUAAUCCAUUUCGAGUUAAUUUUUCUGUAUGGUUUUAGAGAAUGUCCUAAUUUCGUUCUUUUACAUGUAGCUGACCAGUUUUCACAGCACCACUCAUUGAAGAGACUGUCUUUUCUCCAUUGUACAUUCUUGCCUCCUCUGUUGUAGGUUAAUUGACCAUAAUAUGUGGGUUUAUUUCUGGGUUUUCUAACCUGCUCCAUUGAUUUAUGUGUCUGUUUUAGUGCCAAUACCAUAGUGAAGUUUUUUUGGUUUUGUUUUUGUCUUUUUAGGGCUGCACCCACAGCAUAUGGAAGUUCACAGGCUAGGGGUCUAAUUGGACCUGCAGCUGCCAGCCUAUGCCACAGCCAUGGCAAUGCAGGAUCUGAGCAGUGUCUAUGACCUAACUCAACAGCUUGUGGCAACGCCAGAUCCUUAACCCAUUAAGUGAGGCCAGGGAUUGAAACCCAUAUCCUCAUGGAUACUAGUCAGAUUCUUACCACUGAGCUACAACAGGAGCUCCCCAAUACCAUACUUUUUUUGAUUACCGUAGCUUUGUAGUAUAGUCUGAGGUCAGGGAGCCUGAUCCCUCCAGCUAUGUUCUUCUUUCUCAGGAUUGUUUUUGUUAUCCAGAGUCUUCCAUGUUUCCACACACAUUUUAAAAUUAUUUGCCCUAGUUCUGUGAAAAUUGCGACUGGUAGUUUGAUAGGGAUUGCACUGAAUCUAUAGAUUGCCUUGGGUAAUAUGGUUAUCUUAACAAUAUUGAUUAUUCCAAUCCAAGAACAGAAUCUAUUACAAGAGGUCUUUCUUGGGUCCCUGCUUGUGUGACAGACUGUGUAUAGGGCACUGGGGUCAUUGGGAGGGACACUUUGAUAGGCUUAUCUGAGCAGCUGAAAGCCAGUGUGAAAGGCAUGUAAUGCAAAGCCACCAAAAGGCAUUACAGUAGGAUGUCAGUAAAGGUGUGGGCCACAUACCAUGGAAACUAGAGGAGAAGCAGCUGGAUCUGCCUGAUGAGGUUCAGGACAACCCAAGGUGGGGGUGUGGCACCUGAGGAGUCUGGAGGAUGAGUGGAGACCAUUCUUUGGCCUCCAGUAAGAAAGCUCGAAGCCCCAUUUCCUCCGUGAAUCCAUCCCCAGGGCUGUGCUUCUCUCCUUCUCUCUCUUUCUACUUUCAGAAAACCCACAGUGCUCUGUACCAUAGUUUGAUAUUGGCUUAUGGUCACAGGCUUAUCAUUAGAUUUUGUGUUGCUUGCAACCAUUUGACUGUUUUAGUGUAUUUGUUUAACAAACACUUACAUAGUACCUAAUACUUAGCAGGCAGUAUUCUAAGAAUUUAACAAACAUUAAUUCAUUCAACCCUCCUAACAUUCCUAUUACUGUCCCCAUUGUACAGAGAAGAAAGCUGAAGCAGAGCCCAGGUUCCCAUGGCUGGGAAGGGGAGGCCAUGCAUUUCAAGGCUCAGCAGGCUGGCUCCAAAACACAUGCUCUUAACUGCUCUGGGCUGCCUCUCUCUCAACAGCUGGAAGUUUCCAUAGUCCAGUGAUUGUAUCAGCUCCUUUAAUAAAAUCUCUCAUGGGAACUAGCAGAGAGAGGGUGUAAUAAAUGACCUAUCAAUAAAUAGUAAGCUGAAGGCUUCCUCACGUUUCAUUAUCAGGGGCUGACUCUCCUCUGGGAACUGGCAGUUUUGGGGACACUGAGCCUGAGGGGAUGAGGCAGGGAGGGGACUGAGGUGGCAUCAGGCAACUCAGUUGAAUGAGCUCAGGCUGUAAACGGGGUGUCAGGUGCCCAAGAUGAACCAUCCUCAUAGCCCGUGGACCCGAGCUGCCCCCCAGGUCCACUGUGAAAGGGAACAGAAUGGGCUAGUAGAAACAGCUGUGUUUUUUAAGUACAAUACUUCUAAAAUUCUGUGAUCAAAGGAAAUAAAACUUGAAGUUGGGAAGCCAAAUCCAGUGCUCCAAAAAGGCCAAUCUGGAGAUGCCCUCGAGCAGCCGGGACCUCAGCAGCUGCUUUUAGCUUUGCCCUGCUCCCCGGCCC